UACCUGGUUGAUCCUGCCAGUAGUCAUAUGCUUGUCUCAAAGAUUAAGCCAUGCAUGUGUAAGCACACACUGUUUUAAAAGUGAAGCCGCGAAUGGCUCAUUACAACAGCCACAGUUUAUUAGAACUUACAAUCAUGGAUAACUGUGGUAAUUCUAGAGCUAAUACACGCACAAAAACUUCAACUGAAUUGGUUGAAGUGCUUUUAUUAGAACAAAAACCGAACGGCGUUUGACGAAUGUUGAACGUCGAAACUGUUUGGUGAAUCUGAAUAACUAUUUCUGAUCGCAUGGUCUAGCACCGGCGACAUCACUUUCAAGUGUCUGCCUUAUCAACCUUCGAUGGUAGUCUAUGCGACUACCAUGGUGAUAACGGGUAACGGAGAAUCAGGGUUCGACUCCGGAGAGGGAGCCUGAGAAACGGCUACCACAUCCAAGGAAGGCAGCAGGCGCGCAAAUUACCCACUCCCAGCUUGGGGAGGUAGUGACGAAAAAUAACGAGACGAUUCUCGUUUGAGAAACGUUAUCGAAAUGAGUACGCUUUACACACGCUAACGAGUAGCAAUUGGAGGGCAAGUCUGGUGCCAGCAGCCGCGGUAAUUCCAGCUCCAAUAGCGUAUAUUAAAGUUGCUGCGGUUAAAACGCUCGUAGUUGAAUUGUGGGUCUUAGACAACAGUCCCCCUACAAAGGUGUGGCACGGUUGCUCGAGAUCUUCAUUCCUGGGUUGCUGUUGUUGCUCUUCAUUGAGGGUCAAUUGGGUGCCCUCGAAGAAUUUUUUACCUUUUGGAAAAAAA
rnacentral:ncRNA from 1 species